AACGAACGCUGGCGGCAUGCCUAACACAUGCAAGUCGAACGAGACCUUCGGGUGUAGUUGCGCCCGGAUGCGUAACGUGUGGGAAUCUGCCCUUGGGUGCGGGAUAACAGUUGGAAACGACCGCUAAAACCGGAUGAUGUCUUCGGACCAAAGGUUCAUCGCCCAAGGAUGAGCCCGCGCCGGAUUAGCUUGGUGGUGGGGUAAGAGCUCACCAAGGCGACGAUCCUUAGCUGGUCUGAGAGGAUGAUCAGCCACACUGGGAGUGAGACACGGCCCAGACGCCUAGGGGAGGCAGCAGUGGGGAAUAUUGGACGAUGGGCGAAAGCCUGCUCCAGCAAUGCCGCGUGAGUGAUGAAGGCCUUAGGGUUGUAAAGCUCUUUUACCCGGGAUGAUAAUGACAGUACCGGGAGAAUAAGCCCCGGCUAACUCCGUGCCAGCCGCCGCCGUAA
rnacentral:rRNA from 1 species